CAAUAGCGUAUAUUAAAGCUGUUGCGGUUAAAAAGCUCGUAGUUGGAUUUCUGUCAAGGACAGCUGGUCCGCCCUCCGGGUGAGUACAUAGCUUGGUCUUGGCAUCUUGUUGGAAAUUGUUGCUGCGCUUGGUUGUGUGGUGCAGUUUCCAGCACAUUCACUUUGAGGAAAUUGGAGUGUUUCAAGCAGGCACAAGCCUUUGGACACAGUAGCAUGGAAUAAUUAGAUUGGGCUUUUGCUCCAACUUGUCGGUUCCUGGAGCUGAGGUGAGACUCAAUGGGGAUUGUUGGGGGCAUCUGAAUUUAGCCGUCAGAGGUGAAAUUCUUGGAUCUGCUAAAGACGGACAACUGCGAAANCGNNNGCCCAGGAUGUUUUCAUNGA
rnacentral:rRNA from 1 species